GUAUCAGGGAUCCUUAGGAUAGGUGUCAAUCCAUAUCUGCCAAGUGACCCUAUGUAGGGGGAACAGUCCCUAUUCUGCUCUGUGUCAGUGUGUAUCAGGGGCUCUGAGGACAGGUGUCAAUCCAUAUCUGCCAAGUGACCCUAUGUAGGGGGAACAGUCUCUAUUCUGCUCUCUGUCAGUGUGUAUCAUGGUCUCUGAGGACAGGUGUCAAUCCAUAUCUACC